AUUGAACGCUGGCGGCAUGCCUUACACAUGCAAGUCGAGCGGCAGCACGGGGCAACCUGGUGGCGAGUGGCGAACGGGUGAGUAAUGCAUCGGAACGUACCUUUCAGUGGGGGAUAACGUAGCGAAAGUUACGCUAAUACCGCAUAUUCUGUGAGCAGGAAAGCAGGGGAUCGCAAGACCUUGCGCUGAUUGAGCGGCCGAUGUCAGAUUAGCUAGUUGGUGAGGUAAAGGCUCACCAAGGCGACGAUCUGUAGCGGGUCUGAGAGGAUGAUCCGCCACACUGGAACUGAGACACGGUCCAGACUCCUACGGGAGGCAGCAGUGGGGAAUUUUGGACAAUGGGGGCAACCCUGAUCCAGCCAUGCCGCGUGAGUGAAGAAGGCCUUCGGGUUGUAAAGCUCUUUCGGCCGGGAAGAAAUCGCACGGGCUAAUACCCUGUGUGGAUGACGGUACCGGAAUAAGAAGCACCGGCUAACUACGUGCCAGCCGCCGCGGUAAUAC
rnacentral:rRNA from 1 species